rnacentral:rRNA from 1 species
UACAGAGGUCCCAAGCGUUGUUCGGAUUCAUUGGGCGUAAAGGGUGCGUAGGCGGCGCGGUGAGUCGGGUGUGAAAUCUCGGGGCUUAACUCCGAAACUGCAUUCGAUACUGCCGUGCUUGAGGACUGGAGAGGAGACUGGAAUUUACGGUGUAGCGGUGAAAUGCGUAGAUAUCGAUAAGGAAGACCAGUGGCGAAGGCGGGUCUCUGGACAGUUCCUGACGCUGAGGCACGAAGCCAGGGGAGCAAACGGG